CCCUGUAUAGUCCAUAUAUUAGUUCAACUUUGUAAAAACAUGAGAUUUUCUAUAAAAAUACAUGUGCCUUUGUAUAAAGUCCUAUGUUCUAAAAUCCAGUAGGACGUAUUUUCAUCUCCGUUUUCUUCAUAGAUCUGGCGCCUUUCCAAUGCUGCCAAUUCACUCCCGUGUGAGAUUGUUUCCCUGCCUUGAGGUAGCGACCAUUGAGGUUGGACUUGUGACAGUGGUUAUACCACCAAGCACCUUGCCAGUGCACAGCGCAGUUUUCGUUGCCAC